rnacentral:lncRNA from 1 species
CGGAGGUGACGGCGGGGAUGAACAAGUAGUUGGGAAUGGUGGCGGGACAUGAAUCUUCGAUUUCCUGUAACAAAACAAAGAACACAAGGAAAGAACAUUAAAAUUCAACUUUGAACCCAUCAUCCACCACCGGAGAUACAACUCUUUCUUUGGCAAAUCUGCUUCAUCUUCUUCUUCUCCGUCUCCAUUUCUCUCCAAUAAAAAAAACCCCAAAUCUAACAACCCUAACCAUACUUCUCCGUCUCCGUCACCAUUUUCGCAUAAGAAACCCCCAAAUUGAAUCCUAACCCUAGAUCUGACCUUCCUGCUCGUAGUCCUAGCCAUGGUCCUGCGGCUCAUUCUCUUGUACAUUCCAAGUUUAAGAAGCCUUUUCUCGUUAUCAGACAGACACCUUCGCCUUUUCAAUCGGUGGAAUUAGGUACUGUAACGAGGUAGUGGGGAAGUAAGUUAGGGUUUAUUGGUCGUUGGGUAAGAGAUUGAAAAGAGGAGAGAGGGAGGCCAUUAAUCAAUUUUUUUUUUCUCAAAUCGAAAGGAGGAGAGGAGGAGAAGUUCUCGAUACAUUUGGGUGAAAGGAGGAAGAAACUUUUCUGCGAAAAGUUUUAGAUAAAAGGUGGAAAGGUGAAUUAUUUUG